rnacentral:rRNA from 1 species
AGAGUUUGAUCCUGGCUCAGAUUGAACGCUGGCGGCAGGCCUAACACAUGCAAGUCGAGCGGAUGAAGAGGGCUUGCUCUCUGGUUCAGCGGCGGACGGGUGAGUAAUGCCUAGGAAUCUGCCUGGUAGUGGGGGACAACGUUUCGAAAGGAACGCUAAUACCGCAUACGUCCUACGGGAGAAAGCAGGGGACCUUCGGGCCUUGCGCUAUCAGAUGAGCCUAGGUCGGAUUAGCUAGUUGGUGAGGUAAAGGCUCACCAAGGCGACGAUCCGUAACUGGUCUGAGAGGAUGAUCAGUCACACUGGAACUGAGACACGGUCCAGACUCCUACGGGAGGCAGCAGUGGGGAAUAUUGGACAAUGGGCGAAAGCCUGAUCCAGCCAUGCCGCGUGUGUGAAGAAGGUCUUCGGAUUGUAAAGCACUUUAAGUUGGGAGGAAGGGCAGUAAGCUAAUACCUUGCUGUUUUGACGUUACCGACAGAAUAAGCACCGGCUAACUUCGUGCCAGCAGCCGCGGUAAUACGAAGGGUGCAAGCGUUAAUCGGAAUUACUGGGCGUAAAGCGCGCGUAGGUGGUUCGUUAAGUUGGAUGUGAAAGCCCCGGGCUCAACCUGGGAACUGCAUCCAAAACUGGCGAGCUAGAGUAUGGCAGAGGGUGGUGGAAUUUCCUGUGUAGCGGUGAAAUGCGUAGAUAUUACACAGAACACCGAUUGCGUAGGCAGCUUACUAGAGGUUCACUGACGCUGAUGCACGAAAGCGUGGGGAUCAAACAGGAUUAGAUACCCUGGUAGUCC